UUAUGGCUCAGGACGAACGCUGGCGGCGUGCCUAACACAUGCAAGUCGAACGGAGAUACGAUUCGGUUGUAUCUUAGUGGCGAACGGGUGAGUAACGCGUGAGCAACCUGACUCUUAGAGGGGGGAUAACACUGGGAAACGAGUGCUAAUACCGCAUAAGACCACGACAUGGCAUCAUGACGAGGUCAAAGGAGCAAUCCGCUGAGAGAGGGGCUCGCGUCCCAUUAGAUAGAUGGUGGGGUAACGGCCUACCAUGGCGACGAUCGAUAGCCGGACUGAGAGGUCGACCGGCCACAUUGGGACUGAGACACGGCCCAGACUCCUACGGGAGGCAGCAGUGGGGAAUAUUGCACAAUGGGGGAAACCCUGAUGCAGCGACGCCGCGUGAGUGAAGAAGUAUUUCGGUAUGUAAAGCUCUUUUAGCAGGGAAGAUGAUGACGGUACCUGCAGAAAAAGCCCCGGCUAAAUACGUGCCAGCAGCGGC
rnacentral:rRNA from 1 species